rnacentral:hammerhead_ribozyme from 1 species
AUCCAGCCGACGAGACCUAAAUAGGACGAGACGCGCGUUCUGGAU